rnacentral:rRNA from 1 species
UACGAAGGGGGCUAGCGUUGCUCGGAAUCACUGGGCGUAAAGCGCACGUAGGCGGACUCUUAAGUCGGUGGUGAAAUCCUGGAGCUCAACUCCAGAACUGCCUUUGAUACUGGGGAUCUCGAGUCCGGAAGAGGUGAGUGGAACUGCGAGUGUAGAGGUGAAAUUCGUAGAUAUUCGCAAGAACACCAGUGGCGAAGGCGGCUCACUGGUCCGGUACUGACGCUGAGGUGCGAAAGCGUGGGGAUCAAACA